UAACUAUUCAGUUGCGCUCAAUUCUACCAUGGGCACAAAAGUACAAGAUAAUAGUAAAAUAAACUAAAAAUAUCAUCGCAACUGUUUCAUAGCAGAGUAACCACAAACUGUGACACCGUUAGCAGUCAGUUUUAGAAUCGAUGGAAAACUGUAAAUCCGCUCAUUUGUUUUUAACAAAUUAGUGCAAUUUAAUUAUUAUUUUUGUAUUUAGAGAUGUAAAUCAUACAAAUCUAACCCUCUAAUUUAUCAUUCAACGGGUAACUUGUAUAGACGGCAACCGCAACAUCGAAUAGGAAAUUUAAUUUUUCAUAAAGGUUUUCAACACCAUUAAACAGGAUUCAGCUGAAGCAGCAAUAAACAAAGUUGGAACGGAAAAUGUGUCAUACGUCCCUGCAAUCCAUCGUGCAAUAUUGGAGGAGUUUCAUCAUAAAAUUUGCCCCUUCGAUGGAAAAUCACAUCCAAAAGCAACAUCUCCAAACUUAAGAAUUCGUGAGCGCCUGCCGGCAAUUGUAGCGGUGUCAAGCGAUAAUUAUGUCUCGCAACACAUGCCUAUUCUAAUAAAGUUUGAU